rnacentral:rRNA from 1 species
UUUCCGUAGGUGAACCUGCGGAAGGAUCAUUAUUGAAUACUCGAUGGGUUGUAGCUGGCUCCUCGGAGCAUGUGCACGCCUGUCUUGACUCUAUUCAUCCACCUGUGCACCUAUUGUAGUCUCAUUUGCUAUGUCUUUAUUCACAAACCAUGUAGUAUGUUGCAGAAUGUAUUCAAUGGGCCAUCGUGCCUAUAAAACCUUAUACAACUUUCAGCAACGGAUCUCUUGGCUCUCGCAUCGAUGAAGAACGCAGCGAAAUGCGAUAAGUAAUGUGAAUUGCAGAAUUCAGUGAAUCAUCGAAUCUUUGAACGCACCUUGCGCUCCUUGGUAUUCCGAGGAGCAUGCCUGUUUGAGAGUCAGUAAAUUCUCAACCCCACCAGCUUUUGUGAGUUGGCACUUGGGGAUUGGAUGUGGAGGUUCUGCCGGCCGGUCGGCUCCUCUGAAAUGUAUUAGCGGAACCGUUUGCGAUCCGUCACAGGUGUGAUAAUUAUCUACGCCAGUGGGUUGCUCUCUGUCUGUUCAGCUUCCAACCGUCCUCCGGGACAAACAUAAUUGAACCUUUGACCUCAAAUCAGGUAGGACUACCCGCUGAACUUAA